rnacentral:rRNA from 1 species
CACCGCGGUUAGACGAGAGGCCCUAGUUGAUAUUAAAACGGCGUAAAGGGUGGUUAGGGACAGAAAAUAAUAAAGCCAAAUGGCCCCUUGGCCGUCAUACGCUUCUAGGCGUCCGAAGCCCCACGUACGAAAGUAGCUUUAACAAACCCACCCGACCCCACGAAAGCUAAGAAA